GCCCUCAGGAGGGGGAUAACGGUUGGAAACGACCGCUAAUACCCCAUAUGCCGAUAGGUGAAACGAAUUUCGCCUGAGGAUGAGCCCGCGUCUGAUUAGCUAGUUGGUAAGGUAAAGGCUUACCAAGGCUUCGAUCAGUAGCUGGUCUGAGAGGAUGAUCAGCCACACUGGGACUGAGACACGGCCCAGACUCCUACGGGAGGCAGCAGUGGGGAAUUUUCCGCAAUGGGCGAAAGCCUGACGGAGCAACGCCGCGUGAGGGACGAAGGCCUCUGGGCUGUAAACCUCUUUUCUCAAGGAAGAAGAUAUGACGGUACUUGAGGAAUAAGCCACGGCUAAUUCCGUGCCAGCAGCCGCGGUAAUACGGGAGUGGCAAGCGUUAUCCG
rnacentral:rRNA from 1 species